rnacentral:rRNA from 1 species
GACGAACGCUGGCGGCGUGCCUAAUACAUGCAAGUCGAACGAACUCUGGUAUUGAUUGGUGCUUACAUCAUGAUUUACAUUUGAGUGAGUGGCGAACUGGUGAGUAACACGUGGGAAGCCUGCCCAGAAGCGGGGGAGUAACACCUGGAAACGAAGAUGCUAAUACCGCCAUAACAACUUGGACCGGCCAUGGUCCGGAGCUUGUAAAGAAUGGCUUCGGUCUAU